AUAUACAUAGCAAGCACUUGAGUACAGAAGGUGGACAGCUGGGUGGGGAAACAAUCCUUGCCGGCGGGAGUUUCCGAGACGGGCGGCGUUGAUGGAGGCGACUGCAGGCGACGGCGGGGCCAAAGCCAGGCGGCAGAGGAGGCGAAUCCAGGCAGCGGCGGCGCGCUCGUGAACCGGUCGCGGCAGUGAGGAUCGAAUCCCCAACGCUAACAAAGGAGCUGAGCCGAGCCGGGAGCUGCGCAACGCUUGGGAACUGAUGCGGAGGAGACGAUCCAUACGAUGCUGAGCUUGUCCAUGUGGCGCGCAUCAAAGGUGGGGCUGCACAGGAGGAGGUUUGCAGCCGGUCUCCACCGAAUUUUUUUCCGUCCUCUUCCCGUCCUCCUCCCCGCCGUCCUCCCGUCCUCCUCGCCUCCUUCCUCCUCCCCGCCUCCUCCCCUCAUGGCUGUGUGGAGCUGCACCUCGCCCCCACCUCACCUCACCUCGCCUCGUGCUCCACCUCCAGCACUUGGUGGCUGAAAAGCUUCAAUUUUUCGGCGCAUCCGGUGGCGGAAGUGCCAGAUCCUGUGGCGGCGUUGUAGAUCCGGUGGCGGGGAAGCUCGAUCCGGUGGCGCGUACUCGGCGCUUCCUGGUGGUCCUCCUCGACGCCCGUGGUGUUGGCGUGAUGCAGUCACCUCCUCCUCGUCGUGCAGGGACGGCGGCGGUGCUCUCUCUGUUCAUGGCUACUGCUGGUGUUGCUGCUGGUGGCGCGACCGAUCUGUGUUCUGCAUCGGCUACAGCCACUGUUGGUUCACUGAAGUUCUUCUUAUUGCUUCCUGAUGAAUUGCUUCUUCCUCAUCCAGCAACAUCUCGUCUCCUGUUAAAUAAGGAGCAAAGGGUAUGUGUUGGUUACUGCUGCUGCUGGUGUAGCUGUUGCUAUUGCUGUUGUAGCUGUUGCUGCUGCUGGUGGUGUUCAUGGCUGCUGCUGCUAUUUCUGGAGUACUGCUGCUGCUAUUACAGAUCAUUUGGUUUGAAGGUGAAAGGAUACAUCAAGACCAUUUGAAGGUGAAAGGAUACAUCAAGGCCAUUUGAAGGUGAAAAUUGGUUCCUUCGCUGGCGGAAGAAUUGCAGGUGCGGUGGAGGAGAAGCAGCAGCAGCCUGGAGCCUGGAUGUGGUGGAGGCGUGGUGAAUUGCAGGGGCCGUGGGGCAGAGGGAGCAGGAGCUCCACCAGCGGCAGGGGUAGAAGGAGCUCCGGCGAGCAGAGCCUGGAGUUCGAGCAAGAUCCUGGCGAGAAGGGGCUCCGACGAGCAGCGGGACCUUGAGGAGGGAGCUCCACCGGCGACAGGGGGAGAAGGAGCUCCGGCGAGCAGAUCCUGGAGUUCGAGCAGGAUCCUGGCGGGAAGGGGCUCCAGCGAGCAGCGGGACCUUGAGGGAGCUUGAGGAGGGAGCUCCACCGGCGGCAGGGGGAGAAGGAGCUCCGACGAGCAGAUCCUGGAGUGCGAGCUUGAGGGCCUUGAGCUCCUUGAGCGCGAGCAGCUUGAGGAGGGAGAACUGAGGGCCUGAGGGGCGCCCAGCAGGAGCUUGAGGGAAGCUCGCUGGCAGAGGAGGUGCUGGCGAGAUCCUGCCCCGGCGAGGUGCUGGGGAUCGCGAGGUGCUGGGGAGCUUGAAGUCAGAAUUUGAAAUGUACUGGACUGUAGUGUAAAAUUGACAUUAGUGCAAUUUUUUUCUCUCCUGCGUCACUUAAUUCGGGACGGAGGGAGAGUAAUUCAUAAUUUGUAUGGAGUGGGUUGUCUCAA